rnacentral:rRNA from 1 species
GAUUAACGCUGGCGGCGUGCAUAACACAUGCAAGUCGAACGAUGAAACUCAUUAGAUUUCUUCGGAAUGAAAAUGAAUGGAUUAGUGGCGAACGGGUGAGUAACGCGUGAGUAACCUGCCUUACACAAGGGGAUAGCCUCUGGAAACGGAGAAUAAUACCCUAUGAAACCAGACAAUCGCAUGAUAAUCUGGUCAAAAUGUUUAGUGGUGUAAGAUGGACUUGCGUCUGAUUAGCUAGUUGGUGAGAUAAAAGCUCACCAAGGCAACGAUCAGUAGCCGGCUUGAGAGAGUGUACGGCCACAUUGGGACUGAGACACGGCCCAGACUCCUACGGGAGGCAGCAGUGGGGAAUUUUGCACAAUGGGGGAAAACCUGAUGCAGCGACGCCGCGUGAUUUAGAAGGCCUUCGGGUUGUAAAAAUCUUUUGUAUAGGAAGAAAAUGACAGUACUAUACGAAUAAGGUCCGGCUAAUUACGUG